AAAAAAAAAUAAUUUCUUUAGUAAAUCUUUUGAAUUAAAGCUUUUGAUGCUCUUAUUCACAGGAAAGUGAGCCAACUACCACUAGAAAGCCUGUGAAAUCCAAGACCAAUGGAAUUUGUAAAAAGCCAAAGGAUGUAUCAUCGACUGCUUGAGUAAAUUGAAAGAAUAGGAGCAAGCUAAAGCACUUCACAAAACACGGACUCAAUAAAGAAAUAUCAUUAGAAAAUCCAAAAUUUUGAUAACAAACUAGGUGUACAAAUUUUUCUUUACUAUUCUGAAGUAUUCGAAAUUAAGAAAUUUCGAUCAUUCGAAAGUUUAAAAACAUUGAUUUCAUAUAAAUCAUGAUACAUAACUUGUCAUGUUUAAUGACACAAAGUAAUUAUUGCUUUGUCAUAAACUAUUCUUGAGCAUAGAAUUUUUAAUUUAUUAAUUUCAAAUUAAUAUCUUAACAUAAUUUGUUUCAUUAAA